rnacentral:rRNA from 1 species
CCUACGGGUGGCAGCAGUGAGGAAUAUUGGUCAAUGGACGAGAGUCUGAACCAGCCAAGUCGCGUGAAGGAUGACUGCCCUAUGGGUUGUAAACUUCUUUUAUAUGGGAAUAAAAUGUUCCACGUGUGGGCUUUUGUAUGUACCCUAUGAAUAAGGAUCGGCUAACUCCGUGCCAGCAGCCGCGGUAAUACGGGGGGUCCGGGCGUUAUCCGGAUUUAUUGGGGUUAAAGGGGGCGUAGGGGGGUUGUUAAGUCCGUUGUGAAAGUUUGCGGCUCAACCGUAAGAUUGCAGUUGAAACUGGCAGUCUUGAGUACAGUAGAGGUGGGCGGAAUGCGUGGUGUAGCGGUGAAAUGCUUAGAUAUCACGAAGAACUCCGAUUGCGAAGGCAGCUCACUGGACUGCAACUGACACUGAGGCUCGAAAGUGUGGGUAUCGAACAGGAUUAGAUACCCUUGUAGUC